rnacentral:lncRNA from 1 species
ACACGUUCCCGCCCCCGCGGAGGAGUUGGGAGCCGCCUCCUUCCCGUGGGCCCUGCCCGGGCUUACCUUCACAGUGCCGCAAAAAGCUGCUAGGAUGCGAGAUCCAACAGUUCCAAGGGAGCAGUCAUCAGCAAUUAGAGAAAUCCAAUGGUGCCCAUCAUUGUCUUUGCUGUGUUUCAAAUAUCAAACUGAAAACCCAGCACAGCAUCAAGUAUGCUACAGUAUUAAUAGAAGUCAUCUGUGUUCCUUAAGAAGAAUAAAUAGCAGCAUAAGUAGAAAGGGACCAAGACAGCAAAGAAAGGUCAGAAAUCUUGGACUAAGUUUUUAUAAAGCAUAGUAUAGAAUAGAAAAGACAUUCUGAAGAGAAAUCUAGUGGUCUUCUGGACAGAAAUCUGUUCUUCCUAUUGGAAGGGGUGUGAAUGCUUCUACAGAUUUUACUCAAGUAUGAAAUAUCAGAAUUGCUAUACAUUUUCUUCAUGUUUAUGCUCAAUUUACACUUCAGCUCAAGAGAAGUGUCUGAAAAUCUUAGAGACAGUCCAUCUGACUGCUGGUAGGAGUGGUUGUCUUUUAGUAGUGUUAGUUUUUCCUUCUGCCUUUGGGAGGAGUCUUAUGCCCUCAGCAGUCUUCUUUCCUAAAACAAAGAUCUUGGAACACAAUCAUGCCCAAAUAUCAAAGUUUUUUCCCUUGUCAUUGCUUAAAACUAGAUAAAUUAUUCUGGGCUUGUAUGAAUUGUCACUUGUCUGUGUUCUUGCCUUUCUGUUUCAAGCUGCCAUGUUUUCCCUUCUUGUUGCUUCAAAAUACUUCUGGAAUGAGCCACCUUUUCUACCUACCACCCCAACCUUUGAUUAGCGAGCUUUCUGAAGUGGGAUGGUUAUGACUUAUAGGGGAAGUGGGAAUGAUUGCGACACUACCAGAAGAGUUCCAUAUCUUCAUGUUACAAUGCAGAAUAUUCUCAGAGAAUUAAAUGCUCUUUUAAAAUGUACUGACUUUCAAGUGCUGGCAGUUAAGUAAUGCAUCCCAAGUGCUCAAAUGAAUAGUAAUGGAAGAAGAUCAUAGCAGGAAAUUUCAGUGGCUUACCUCCUUAGCUUAUGGUAGGCCUGACUAUGGUCGUGAGAUUUUUGUCUUUAAAGAAGUCUAUGUUGAAGGGUUGCCCAAAUUCAAUGACUAAGUCAUGUUUCUCCACUUCUGGGUGUAAAGCCCAGUGAACUGGGCGUGAGUGGAACAU